UAUGUAGCUUGUGAAGUUUGCUGGUGAGAUCGUCGCUUUGGUCGUUGUUACACACGCCUAAAAUUUGUGUAUACACUUUGAGUGACAUAGAUUAAAUGGAAAAGCGAAAAGACGAAAAGUAACUCUGCUACGGCGCCAGACUAAGUUUCAUUUUUGACUUACCGCACAGUCCAGUCAUUUUUCCUUCGUAAGCUUCAUAUGGGAUUUUGAGACUCAAGUUCCUUGUAUCCUGACACCUCAACUCUGACAUCGUCGCCUUCCCACGCGGAUAAGACUUCAGUCUCAACGCCGUUGUAGACGAACUGAAAUAAAUUGUAGUUUUAAAAUAUGGUAUAAGCAUAUGGACCUCACCUUCUGUCCGAAAGUGAACGUGUAGUUAUUUCCUUUAUGCAAAACGAUGAGUGUCUUAAGACAGCUGAGGUC